rnacentral:rRNA from 1 species
UACGUAGGGGCGAGCGUUGUCCGGAAUCAUUGGGCGUAAAGCGCGUGUAGGCGGCCCGGUAAGUCCGCUGUGAAAGUCCAGGGCUCAACCCUGGGAUGCCGGUGGAUACUGUCGGGCUCGAGUCCGGAAGAGGCGAGUGGAAUUCCUGGUGUAGCGGUGAAAUGCGCAGAGUAUCAGGAGGAACACCAAUGGCGAAGGCAGCUCGCUGGGACGUGACUGACGCUGAGACGCGAAAGCGUGGGGAGCAAACAGG